rnacentral:lncRNA from 1 species
CUUGACCUUAAAAGCUAUAGACAAUCUAACUCAGCACAGACGGUUUCGCGGAGUACAAUCACUUCCUGGAAUUCUUGGGCCAGCGAAGUCGGAGCCGAGCAAAUCCUGUUUUCCUUGCAUUGUUUCCUGCAUGUGAAUAUCAUCAGUCUAGCAGAUGUUUCGUUGGGUCAAGGAAGGGAGGCUACGGUGCUUCCUCUCUGGUUAGAAUCUCAGCACGCACGCUUCUUUGUAACCAGCCCACAGCUGUGCCUCAGUGACUUGGAGAGAGUAUGAAGUUAGAAAUAAACUCAAAU